rnacentral:lncRNA from 1 species
UGACUUUCAGGAAAACAAUGUAGCACUGUAGUCCAAGGGACUUGAACCCUUCAUGGGCAAAUUCAACAAUAUCUGCUUCUAGGCAGUCACUGGAACAUAUACCAGUAAUCCCAGCUACCUGGGUGACUAAGGGAGGAGGAUGGCAAGUUCUAGGUGAGCACAGGAAACUUAGUGCAAACAUGCCUCAAAACAUAAAAUCUGGGUGUGUAAUUAGUAGUGGAUAUUUGCUGAGCAUGUUCAAAACCCUAGAUAUUGGGGGGAAAAAAGAGAGAAAGAAACAAACAAAAUUAGACACCUACCUUCCAGGAGGCACAGAGAGAGAGAAGGUCAGUCAAAGAGUUCAAGGUCUCAGAAUGAGGAAGAAAGAGCAUAGACCAACUGUGCUCUAUGAUGUCAAAAUUGUAUAUUUAAAAGUUUCUAAAGGAUUUAAAUGUUCUUACCACACAGACUAAAAGUUAAAUCAUGGAAGUAGUGCGUAUGUAAAUGCACUGCAUCAUUUACAAUGUAUACAGAGGUCCAAAACCACAUUGUGUCCCAUAAAUGUUACUAAAACACUGUCAAUUAAAAAGUAAGUAAAUACAUUGAAGGGAAAGAAUAAUUUUCCAAUUCCCCAAUACUAAAACACUCAAAUCCUAAAGGAAUACAUUCAGCUAUAUAUUGGGAGUCAUCUCAUUUUGUAAGCUAACAUAAAAAAUGAAAACAACACAAAUAUCUCACAGUAUAGUAAUGGCUGAAUUAUGGUAAAAUUCUGUGUGAUACAUGGACUUAACCUACAUGCAAAAAAAACUGCAAAACUUUAGCAUGGUAUGAUAGAGUUGAUUUUUUUUUCUGUUAAAUUAACUCCUAGGUAAAAGAACUUGAGGUUUAUGAAAGAGAAAUAUCCUUGCCUCAGGCUCACUGUCCAAAACCAAAUGAGAAAACGGUGAAUAUACAAGAAUAGGGAUUAAGAAUUCACUCAAAAAACCUGAAACUCUACUUUGAACACAUCAACUGUACGAUCCAGCAAUUCAUACUUAUGUUUUGCCCAAGAAAAUGAAAGCAUAUAUGCACACAAGGACUUGUACAAAAAUGAUCACAACAGCUUUCUUUGUAAAGGUCAAAAACUGCAGUCAACACAAAUGUCCACCAGCAGAUGAAUGGAGAAUCAAUCUGUGGUACAUACAAAGGACAACACACACGAAACUGAAAUUCAUUACACUGAAUAAAUAAGCCCUACAAGAAAGCACACCCUGAAUGACUACAGGGCCAGAACAUAAACCAGAUGAGUGGUUGCAAGGGAUGGGAGGACAGAAAGUGAUGACAAGUAGCCACAAGGAAAUUUAAGGGGCUAUAAACAUGAGUUCAUUAUUAUGCAUGUAUGAGUUCAUGUUCAGGUGAUGGUUUCCAGGCUCUUUAUAUAUUUGUACGUUUUUAUAAUUUAAAUAUGUGCAGUGCAUUGUAUGUCAAUCUGCCUCCUCUAACCAAAAAGAAAUCACCUCAUGUAACCCCUACCCACCCACCAUCCACAGCUCUAACCACUGAUUAACAUUUUUGCAUAUUAAAGUGUAAUAUUGAUAAACUCAAUGAGUAGUCUCAAAUAAAUGAAGAUCAAACUUUUAAAAA